rnacentral:lncRNA from 1 species
AUGUUCUUCUUUCUCUGUUGCUGGUUUUUUAAGGGUUUCUAUGAACAGAGCACAAGCAGAAGGCACCACCUCAACCUGGGCCUACUUGUUCUGAAUGAUCCCAUCAAGAAUAAGAGCACAGAAAAGGACGCUGAUUACUUAAAAACUUCUCCAGGAUCACAUAAUAUAAAUGAACACAGAGUUGGCAUUUUUUGGAUGUCUUUAUGUUGGAAACUAGUCUGGCCUCAGUACUAUAUAUCUUUAAAAUUAAUAUACAAGCUACUGAAACACAUGAACAACGCUGAGAUAGAGUUGAAUUAUCUGAAGCCUACUAAUGAAAGAUAGUCUUCUGGUCUACUACAUUGAUAUGGACUUGUCAUAUAAUUAAACAGCAAUCUCAGCACGUACAAUUUGACUUAAUAUUUGGGCUUCAUUGCAAGUACUAAAGAGGUAUGUUUC